rnacentral:rRNA from 1 species
AGAGCGAACGCUGGCGGCAGGCUUAACACAUGCAAGUCGAACGGAUCCUUCGGGAUUAGUGGCGGACGGGUGAGUAACACGUGGGAACGUGCCUUUAGGUUCGGAACAACACAGGGAAACUUGAGCUAAUACCGGAUACGCCCUUACGGGGAAAGAUUUAUUGCCGAAGGAACGGCCCGCGUCCGAUUAGCUAGUUGGUGAGGUAAUGGCUCACCAAGGCUACGAUCGGUAGCUGGUCUGAGAGGAUGACCAGCAUCACUGGGACUGAGACACGGCCCAGACUCCUACGGGAGGCAGCAGUGGGGAAUAUUGGACAAUGGGCGCAAGCCUGAUCCAGCCAUGCCGCGUGGAUGAUGACGGCCUUAGGGUUGUAAAGUCCUUUUAACGGGGAAGAUAAUGACGGUACCCGUAGAAUAAGCCCCGGCUAACUUCGUGCCAGCAGCCGC